ACUCCUACGGGAGGCAGCAGUGGGGAAUAUUGCACGAAUGGGCGCAAGCCUGAUGCAGCCAUGCCGCGUGUGUGAAGAAGGCCGUUCGGGUUGAUAAAGCACUUUCAGUCGUGAGGAAGGUUAGUGUCAGUUAAUAGCUGCAUUAUUUGACGUUAGCGACAGAAGAAGCACCGGCUAACUCCGUGCCAGCAGCCGCGGUAAUACGGAGGGUGCGAGCGUUAAUCGGAAUUACUGGGCGUAAAGCGCAUGCAGGUGGUUUGUUAAGUC
rnacentral:rRNA from 1 species